rfam:Strongyloides papillosus strain LIN genome assembly, scaffold: SPAL_contig0000046
CCAACGGCCCUCUUUAGGGCCACCAACUACAUUCUUGAUUUGUCUUU